rnacentral:rRNA from 1 species
AAUCAACGCUGGCGGCGUGCCUCAGACAUGCAAGUCGAACGCGAAAGUCCCCUUCGGGGGACAAGUAGAGUGGCGCACGGGUGAGUAACACGUAGGUAAUCUACCUUUGGAUGGGGAAUAACAACCGGAAACGGUUGCUAAUACCGCAUAAUGCAGCGGCACCUAAUGGUGACAGUUGUUAAAGCGGGGGAUCGAAAGACCUCGCGUCUGAAGAGGAGCCUGCGGCGGAUUAGCUAGNGGUAAGGUAAUGGCUUACCAAGGCUACGAUCCGUAACCGGCCUGAGAGGGGCGGUCGGUCACACUGACACUGACAUACGGGUCAGACUCCUACGGGAGCAGCAGUCGGGAAUUUUGGGCAAUGGGCGAAAGCCUGACCCAGCAACGCCGCGUGAAGGAUGAAAUCCCNCGGGAUGUAAACUUCGCAAGAACGGGAAGAAUAAGCGAGAGUUAAUAUCUUUCGUGAUGCGGUACCGUUUGUAAGCACCGGCCAACUACGUGCCA